rnacentral:rRNA from 1 species
UCGAGAAUCAUUCACAAUGGGCGAAAGCCUGAUGGUGUGACGCCGCGUGGAGGAUGAAGGUCUUCGGAUUGUAAACUCCUGUCAAGUGGGGGUAAGGCACUGCGAGGAAAUGCGCGUGUGCUUGAGAGUACCACUAGAGGAAGGGACGGCUAACUUCGUGCCAGCAGCCGCGGUAAUACGAAGGUCCCAAGCGUUGUUCGGAAUCACUGGGCGUAAAGGGUGCGUAGGCUGCGCGGAAAGUCAGAGGUGAAAUCCCGGGGCUCAACCCCGGAACUGCCUCCGAUACUGCCGCGCUCGAGUACUGAAGGGGAGUCCGGAAUUCACGGUGGAGCAGUGAAAUGCGUGGAUAUCGUGAGGAACACUAGUGGCGCAGGCGGGACUCUGGGCAGUAACUGACGCU